CCUACGGGUUGCAGCAGUGGGGAAUAUUGGACAAUGGGCGGAAGCCUGAAGCAGCCAUGCCGCGUGAAGGCAAGUGCCCUUCGGGCUUUAAACUUCUUUUAUGCGGGAGCAAUAAGGGCCACGUAUGGCCCGAUGAAAGUACCGCACGACUCAGCAUCAGCUCACUCCGUGCCAGCAGCCGCGGUAAUACGGGGGAUGCGAGCGUUAUCCGGAUUUAUUGGGUUUAAAGGUUACGUAGGCGGCGCUUUAGGUCAGCGGUGAAAUACCAGGGCUCAACCCCGGGGCUGCCGUUGAAACCGGAGCGCUAGAAUUCCGAUGCGGUCGGAGGAAUGGGUGGUGUAGCGGUGAAAUGCAUAGAGAUC
rnacentral:rRNA from 1 species